CAUCCAGAGAACUUAGCAGAGAUGCUUUGGUGCCUUCGGGAACUCUGAGACAGGUGCUGCAUGGCUGUCGUCAGCUCGUGUUGUGAAAUGUUGGGUUAAGUCCCGNAACGAGCGCAACCCUUAUCCUUUGUUGCCAGCGGUUCGGCCGGGAACUCAAAGGAGACUGCCGGUGAUAAACCGGAGGAAGGUGGGGAUGACGUCAAGUCAUCAUGGCCCUUACGGCCAGGGCUACACACGUGCUACAAUGGCGCAUACAAAGAGAAGCGACCUCGCGAGAGCAAGCGGACCUCAUAAAGUGCGUCGUAGUCCGGAUUGGAGUCUGCAACUCGACUCCAUGAAGUCGGAAUCGCUAGUAAUCGUAGAUCAGAAUGCUACGGUGAAUACGUUCCCGGGCCUUGUACACACCGCCCGUCACACCAUGGGAGUGGGUUGCAAAAGAAGUAGGUAGCUUAACCUUCGGGAGGGCGCUUACCACUUUGUGAUUCAUGACUGGGGUGAAGUCGUAACAAGGUAGGCGUAGCGAG
rnacentral:rRNA from 1 species